rnacentral:rRNA from 1 species
GGAAUAUUGCACAAUGGGCGCAAGCCUGAUGCAGCCAUGCCGCGUGUGUGAAGAAGGCCUUAGGGUUGUAAAGCACUUUCAGCGAGGAGGAAGGGUUCAGUGUUAAUAGCACUGUGCAUUGACGUUACUCGCAGAAGAAGCACCGGCUAACUCCGUGCCAGCAGCCGCGGUAAUACGGAGGGUGCAAGCGUUAAUCGGAAUUACUGGGCGUAAAGCGCACGCAGGCGGUUUGUUAAGUCAGAUGUGAAAUCCCCGAGCUUAACUUGGGAACUGCAUUUGAAACUGGCAAGCUAGAGUCUUGUAGAGGGGGGUAGAAUUCCAGGUGUAGCGGUGAAAUGCGUAGAGAUCUGGAGGAAUACCGGUGGCGAAGGCGGCCCCCUGGACAAAGACUGACGCUCAGGUGCGAAAGCGUGGGGAGCAAACAGGAUUAGAUACCCCUG